ensembl:lncRNA
GUGAUAUUUGUGGUUUACAUGAAUAUCUUAGUUUUUAAGAUAUCAUACAAUGCAUUGUCUUUAGUGCUUCUCAUUUUAUGUCCUCAUAAAAAGCUUCUUGCUUCUGAUUCCAUCAUUCAUUUUUCAACCUGCUGUAGUGUGACCAUUUUCCACAUGCUUGAAACUGUUGUAUCCAUGGUACAAGUGAUUUAACUGCCAAAUCCAUUGAGUGUCUUAGUUGUUAAUGCAUUUGACACAUAUAAGCACUCAGUUCUUGUAACUCUUUCCUCCAAGGUUUAAGGCUAGACUAUCUUGGAUUUUUCUUUGCCUUCUCUAAAGUGUUCCGGUUUUCUUCAAGGUCUCCCUUACCUUUGUCUAUUCAUUACAUGUCAGUGUUCCCUAAAGUUCAAACUAUUCUCCUUUCAUCUUUUAUAUUCUGAAAAUCCUAGGUGAUGCUGUCAACUCUUCGUGUCAACUACCAUUGUUAGAUGAUGUCAGUGUUCCUGAGACAAGAUUAGAUCUCCUCAUUAUGCUUCAGAAACACAUAAACCACUAUCUGUGGCAGUGUUAGCUAAAUCACAAACACCAGAAUCAAAAUUCAUUAUCUCACAAAACUAAUUGGUCUUCCUCUAGUCUCUACCUUAAUGAAUGACUGGUGCUUCUUGAUGGUCACAGUUUUUACCUUUCUCCAUCAUUUUCCAUGUCCAGUCAACCAUCAGUUCUUCCUGUAUCAUCCAAUACCUAAGUGAUCCAACCCUUCUCCUUCUUUCUUUCUCUUCAAUACUUAAUUCUUAUUCUUAUUUGAAGUUGGAAUUACUAUAGAAACAUCUAAGCUGGUGAUUCUGCCUCUGGUUCCUUCUUACUCUUGGUAGAAUCAUCUUUCUAAAACCCCCACAUUAGCAGGUCACCCCUAACUUAAGCUCCAUACUGCAUGCAAGUAGAAUUCAAAAUUCCCUAGCAAAGCCUAUAAUGCCUUUAAUAAUGUGGUCUGGCCUAUCUUUCUAGCUUUUUCUCUCACAACUAUCCCACCCUAUAACUUUCAGUUAUACCAAACUAUCUGCAGUUCCCUAAAUAUGAAAUUCCUUACUUUGCUGCCUGAUAUACCUGGAAUGUGCUUCCUCUCAUCCAUCAUUAAUUCUUUUCUUGGAAACUUUUUUCCAAAAUUCAGCACCUUGACCAGCCCUUAACUGCAGUUAAGGAUUAAGUGACCCUCUUGAGAUUUCUAUAUUUCUUUGUUUAUACCAUUCUCAGAGCUGUCAAACUGUAUUAAAUUGUUUUAUUUUUUUACUUUCCCCUUUAGACUGUGAACUUCUUAACGGCAGGGACUACUUUUUAUUUAUUUUUGUGUUCUUAGAAUCUGCCACAUAGUAUGUGCUCC